rnacentral:other from 1 species
UGGGUACUGCGAGACUCGUUAGCACCGAUAUGUCCCUGGGCCAANGAUGUCCACUAGGGAGCUGUCCCUACCGGCGGUGUGCCGCCGGCACACGGCGCCCACCUGCACCAGCAGGCCACAGUGGUUCAUAGGGUCGACGGUCUUUGCGGUCCCGCC